ncrna:unclassified sequences S15-Flavobacteria ribosomal protein leader
UAUCUUUGCCGCCUUGAUCAUGAAGUAUCAAGUACAUAAAAAUUAUUAAAAAAUUAAUGUUAGCAUG